UACAGAGGGUGCGAGCGUUGUUCGGAAUUAUUGGGCGUAAAGAGUGUGUAGGCGGCGCUCUAAGUUCGGUGUGAAAUCUCUCGGCUUAACUGGGAGGGUGCGCCGGAAACUGGAGUGCUCGAACGUGGGAGAGGAAAGCGGAAUUCCUGGUGUAGCGGUGAAAUGCGUAGAUAUCAGGAGGAACACCUGCGGUGUAGACGGCUUUCUGGACCAUUGUUGACGCUGAGACACGAAAGCGUGGGUAGCAAACAGG
rnacentral:rRNA from 1 species